UCAGAGUCCAACUGCAAGGCUAGAACUGAAUCAAGGGAGAGAGCAGUCCUCCUCCACCUGAGAAGAAUAUAUCCAGCUUUGCUUCAGAUGGGCAGGGCAUUGCCAUUAGACUCUCCAAGCAGGUAGCCAGCUCCAACAAUAGACUGAGACAGGCAAUAAAAGAAUACAACAGCAUUCAAUGGUCACCGCAGAUAAGCUUCUUACCUGCGACAAUUGAUUUUCAGGAAUCAUGUGAUCCCUCUUGGCAUGUCUACUUCUGCUUUGAUGACACUAUUGAAGAAGAUGAUGUUUCGAGGAGUCUAAAAAGGCAAGGGAUUGAUGCCUUACAUAUGACGACUCGGGCAGCUGAGGAAAAGCGCAUGCUUUACGAAGAAAUGAGAUGUGUAACUGAACACCCCAUCAGCAGCAGGCCUCUAACAUCUGUGCUCUAACAUCAAAGACACUGAGCAGCCUGGUGCAAAAGCUGCUCUUAUUCAACACCUACAACAGCUGGAAAGAAAACUACAUCAAGCCAUUGUGAUGUUUCACCCACAUGUAUCGGACAUUGUUCCUGCAGACAACCCCCACUUGUGUCAGGCCCUCCCCAUGCCAAGCAUACAGACACUGGUAUACAAUGAGCGAUAAUGAAGACAAUGUGGAUAAAUAUGAUGACUAGCACUAUAGAUUUUUUUUUAUUUCUAGUCUGAUAUUGUAUUCUGUAAAAAGAAUGAUGUAAAAUGUAACUCAAUUUAAAAAAAAUCUCACCACUACUUUAUUCUAGGGAUGCACCGAAAUGAAAAUUCUUGGCCGAAACCGAAAACGAGGAAACUUAGGCCGAAAAACCGAAACCCCGAAAUAAAUUAUUAUGCCAAUUAUUAGUACAAAUGCAUUUAUGGCUAUCACUGUGUACUAACUUUACUAGGGGUGUGUGACAGCUCACAAAACUCACGGUUCAGAUCACAUUACAGUUUUUGAGGCACAGAUCAGAUUAUUUUUCAGAUCAGCAAAAAGGGGGGUGGGGAAAAUCUAAUAACAAAUAAAGAAAUUACAAACAUUUAUAAAAAAGAACAAAGCUGCACAUUAAAGGUUCUCUAAGCGAAUCUGCGAGACAUUAGUUAUUGUUGACGUUUGAAACGGUUUUCAAACAGACGGAGCGUAGCUAACUCCUCCCCCUCCCUUCCGUGCUUUCAUGAACGCGCCCAACCCCCACCCCCAAAUCCUUUUUGUCGUUUAUUGGCUGGAAUACUUUGUUUUGUUUUGUGAUGCUAGGUUUGGCCACUUGUUGAUAUUGCCGUUUGUGAAGCCUGGGCUGUCUACAGAGAUCGCGUUUUUUUACAGUUUGAUCAGCGGACAGGCAGCAAGCAGAUAGUGAGGAGAUGUUUCCGGUAUGUAACAAAAAAUGUUUUAUGGUCUAAAACGCUUCAAUUCGCUUAGAGUGCCUUUAAUAAGGGCUAACACAUUAGCAUUAGGUACAGAAAUCGAAUUAAAUGAGUCAUAACACUGUCUUUAUUGUAUAAAUUAAAUAUAUUAUUAUUUUUAGAGCUAUUUGUCUCUUUGUUAGACUUAAGUAGGUUAAUUGAGGUUACGGUCUCUUUAAAUAAACAGAGACUGUAAUCUAUACAUACACUUAAGACAUAAACAAAUGUUUUUAUUAGAAAAAGAAUACUUUGGAGAUAAUUUUGUUUAUAUGUGCCCUGUCAAUAACAGAAAGAUUUUACAUUCACUUGUUUGCGUCUCACUCGUGUGUGCACUAUUGAGGGCACUUAAACGCGCACAGAGAACGAAGGCGAAUCCCAAACAGCGCAGCAUAAAAACGUUACGUUGUUUUUCAUUGCUUUAGUCGGCACAUGUAUGUUAAUGGACUAUACAGUAUGAGACACAUUUGCGCGACUCUCUCUAAAGUUUACACAUUAAGAGUUCUGAUCUUUGAAGGACGUACUCACUAUGAUGAUCACGUCUGGACCGGACACAACCGCAUGUGCCUCUGUGCGUACUUUAGUGCCUUUUUGCGGUUAAAUACAUCCACGCCGCAUACAUGUUGCUUCAGACAAGCACGUGCAGGUCGCAGUUUCUGUUUGCGUCAUCACAACAUUUCAGCCGUAUUGUUUCGGUGAUAAAAGUCUUUCGGCCGAAAAUGCUCUUUUGGGCCAUUUUCGGCCGAAUAUAUUCGGUGCAUCCCUACUUUAUUCUUCAGCUUUAGCAUUACUAACUGUAAUGCCAUAACUUAUACAGUCGUAGGUUGGCCUGUUCUAGCCAUUCAUAGGCUUGAACACGGGAACAUCAUCAUUUUAAAAGCAAUUGUUGGUGCUCACCUUCUAUCUCUGUUUGUAAUUUAAGACAAUGUCCUGGACAACACCCUUUCCCCUUUAAGAUGUUUUUAUACAUUAGGUCCCAAAUGUAUGUACAGAACUCUGUUUAUGUAUUCUGCACGUUCUGCCUGGAAACUGAAAGACUUACAGAGUGAAUCUAGUUUAAUGCUGUUAGAUCCUAAAUGAAAGAAUUGGAGGCUGAUUUGUGUAGUGUGUAGUGGAUUGGUCUAUGGUUCUGUUCCAAUAUCUGUUCUUGUUAAAGUAUUGUAAUCUGUUGAAACUACCAAACCAGGUCUACUUGGCCUGGUCUACUAUGAGGAAGAGCUUAUUAUUCUCAAUGGGACAUAAAAAUCACCACAAUUUGAAAAGAUACUUUAAUCUGCAGUCAUCACGAUAGCUACAGUAGUGGCUGUUUCUGAGGACUGUUCUUCCAGCUAUGUAGAACAUAAAACAUAAUAACAACUUUCUUAAUACAACGUUUGAAUCUAAAUUACAAAUUCAUAAUGAAAUGUGUCAACAUUUAUACUCUGUCAAUAGUAGGGGUGUGCCGGUUUCAGAAUUGGUGAUGACGGUUAUGACGUGAGUCAAAUGUGACGGUUCGUCACAUAACCGUCGGUGGGGGGCGUUUUGCUCGUUUAAAUGCUCGUGGAUUGACGGGAAAUUGUCAUUUGACCAUAAAAUCAUGAAUGUGAUGCCA